UGAAUCGUAUAAAGGUAAAAGGAAAAUAAUGGUGAAACUGAAACAUCACAUUAUUGACUAUGUGCAGACUAUUUUUAGACAUAAGGUACGUCGGGGUAACAUCGUAAAAGGGUAAAGUACGAAAAUUCUCAUUUACCUGAGAUUUAGGCAAAUAAUUUUACUUAUGGCAACCCAGCGGUGAAGGACAACUCAAGCCGUCCCCCACCUCAGUCUGCCUCGAGCGUUCUAACCGUGUAGUUGUGUGUGAAAUGCAUUUUUUGCAAACUGUCAUUUUCGACGAAGUUUUGAAGAUUUUCGAUCUUUACCCAUCAUCUAUAACUUUCCUCUCAGAUUAAUCAUGCCACGAAAAUAUUAUAGAAAAUCGCUUCGCGCCACUACUUACACUCAGGAAGAUUUAAAUGCUGCCUUAGAAAGUAUAGCAAAAGGAGAAAAAAGCCAAUAUGCUGCUGCAAAACAUUACAGAAUACCAGUAUCGACACUCAAUGACAGGAUUAAGGGUAAAACUAGAAUAAAAAGACAAACCCUGGGUAGACCAACCGCCAUUCCUGACGAAAUAGAAGUCAGAUUAGCCAAUGCUCUAAUAAUACUGGAAAAAUGGGGUUUUGGUCUCUCCAGGGUCGAAAUAAUAAACCUCGUCGAAGAAUUUAUCAAACUGAAUGAAAUCGCUACACCGUUUAGGAAUGGGAGGCCGGGAUCGGACUGGCUGUAUAAUUUCCGCAAGCGCCAUGGCCUUUCUAUAAAAAAACCACAGCCUAUAGAGCAUGUCCGACGACAAAUGACGGAUCCAUUUAUUAAAACGGUUUGCUUGUUCCUUUUGAUUGUUACGUUAUUAACAUGAGCCUUUUAUAAUAUUUUUGAAAUGUUGUAUUUUUCUGUAAGUGUAUUGUGCAAUUAUUGUUUGAUUAUUAUAAAUAUAAUUUGUACCUAUUGGCAAAUUUUGUUUCCAUUCAUGUCCUAGUUAUGAUUACUACUACGUCAACAUUUACUUACACAGCUAUUAUGAUAUUAAAACAGUUGGGAACCCCUGUCUGAAUUUGGUAGAAGUGGGGUAAGACCGGAAUAUAAAAUUCAUUAUUUUACAAUAUUUCAUACUUCUUCUUACUUUAAAGUACUUUGAUGAAGAAACAUGUAUACUUUUACAUUCUUUACACAAUUUGUGAGUGAAUCCAGUGACCUAAAACAAAAAUUUAAAAAAGUACCCCCAAUUGUCGGUCUUCCCCCCUACAUUACGAUCUUUACCCGUUUUCAUUAUUUUCGUUUAUGUGUAUAUUUUUAUUAAUAUUUAUAUUAAUAUAUAAGAAUAAUGAUUCUUUGCCUGGUGUAAAGUAAAGUACAAUCUGUUGGUUCUAUUGAAAGUUCUAUAGUUUGCUGCUACAUUAUGUGUUUCGGGUUCAUAUAGAUGCUUAAAACAAAUAUACCUCAUCUCAUCAAAAUCGCGUUCGAUGUUGCCCCGAUCUACCUUACUUAAAAUAUGGC